UGAUGUAAUUUAUAUAAAUAAUUUUGCAAAAUCAUAUAAACCCUUCCCCCAAAGAGAGGCUAAACUAGAAGGAAGUUAAAGCGGGACAGCUUUGAUGUCCCGAAUUCUCUCACUCUCAGGGGAGACGAUCGAAUCGUAAUUUUAUUUCAACCCUAAAAAACUCUCCGUCGCGAAAUCCACCGUCGCCAGCGCCAAACCCUAGGUUUUAUAUUUAUUUUUCGGUUCUCUGAAUGCUUUUCUAUCUGUAAAUUUUUUUUUUUGGAAGAUGGAUAUCGAGCAAAAACAAGCAGACUUGAUCGAUCACUUCGUGAAGCAAGCGUCGGCUCAGCAGGGCUCGGCUCUUGGCUCCGUAAUCCUCGAAGCGACGUCGCAUCCUUCCCUUUUCGCCUUCUCUGAGAUUCUUGCCGUGCCCAGUGUCGCUGAGCUUGAACGAACUGAAAACUCAGUGUACCUUGAGGUGCUUCGGUUGUUUGCACAUGGCACAUGGAGUGAUUACAAGGGUAAUAGUGGUCGUCUUCCUCAACUGGUCCCUGAUCAAGUCCUCAAGCUAAAGCAACUUACUGUCCUUACACUUGCUGAGACAAACAAGGUGCUACCAUAUGAUCAACUAAUGCUGGAGUUAGAUGUCACAAAUGUCCGCGAGCUCGAAGAUUUUCUUAUCAAUGAAUGCAUGUAUGCGGGUAUAGUUAGAGGAAAGCUGGAUCAGCUGCGAAGAUGUUUUGAGGUCCAAUUUGCUGCUGGGAGGGAUUUGAGGCCAGGACAACUUGGGAGUAUGAUACAAACACUGUCAAACUGGUUGGGUACAUCAGACAACUUACUUAUCUCAAUUCAAGAGAAGAUAAAAUGGGCUGAUACAAUGAGCGAGUUGGACAAGAAACAUCGUAAGGAGGUUGAAGAUAGGGUGGAAGAAGUAAAGAAGUCCCUCACCCUCAAGAAAAGUUUGGAGCUUAAAGCUGCAAUUUCCUAGUUAACAUGCAAAUGAGUGAGUUUAACUGGAUCUAGAAUUAGCAUGCCAUGACUUCACUCAUUCAAUACCAAGAUAUGUUGGUCGAUGUGGCUUACUUACGUUGUGGCAGAAGUUACACACUGUAAGCAGGCCGACGUUGACUUCCGAGGGCUCGAGGAGAUCUACUCUGAACCUGGUGGAGUGAUGGACUAUGAGGAAGACCGAAGCCGACCCAAGAGGAGACGGCAUCCAAUAUCCUGAAGCGAAGAGCAUGCUACUUAUUGGACAGGUGUUUAGGUGACCAGCCAGAUUUUUGUUCAUGGCAUUCUAGCAACAGAUGAUUCUGCGUUUGGGACAGUGAUACUGCUCUUGGUAGUGAAUUUGUCAUUGUUGCUUUAGAAUUGGAGAAUUGUUAGCUUGUCUUGAACCCAUUGUUAUUCCUAUCGAGUUGGGAAGAACGAGACCAGAUCUGGUGGUGCGGCUAAAAAAUUUUUAAGCAGUUGGUUACUCAAGAUUUACAAAUUCAAAACUUAAUUGUACUUCCUGAUGUUAUUACACCUAGUGCUGCAUCGUGAAGAAUUUAUCUUUCUUAUAAUUUACAAGCUGUUACAUUCUGUCUUGUGGUUAAUAUUGGUUCCAUCAAUUUGGAAAAGUUGUAGGUAUGUGUCUUGAGCAAAUCAUGUUUGACCUAAUCUUCAAUGUAACACUAUUUGCUCCACAGCUUUUUUCA